UACGAAGGGUGCUAGCGUUGUUCGGAAUUACUGGGCGUAAAGGGCGCGUAGGCGGUUUAACAAGUUGGGUGUGAAAGCCCAGGGCUCAACCCUGGAACUGCACUCAAGACUGUUUUACUUGAAUUCGGUAGAGGUUGGUGGAAUUCCCAGUGUAGAGGUGAAAUUCGUAGAUAUUCGGAAGAACACCAGUGGCGAAGGCGACUUACUGGACACAUAUUGACGCUGAGGUGCGAAAGCGUGGGGAGCAAACAGG
rnacentral:rRNA from 1 species